GUUGCAGCACAGCAUACUAUAAACAUAGAUCUUCACCGAACCUUGCAUUCUCUCACUGACGUCCUCACUUCCAGUGAUCUUCAUUGCCAGAUCGAUUCCUGUAUUGCCACCAUAUUCCUUAAGUUCAAAAUCGCAUUGCAAGCAUGAAAUGAAACAGAGGCUUGCAAGCAAGUUGAGAGGAUGUUGAAAUGCCUCGACUUUGAAUCCGAGUUCCUGAAUCUUGCAUGCCACUAGGCAAUAGCUUGCAAAAUGAUUACAGUUGCGCUGCUGCACUCUGCAGCGGGCUAAGCUUAUACUCUUCGGGACAAAUCAUGGCCACAGGAGGAGUCGUUUUCAGAAACCUCAUCCUACUACUGGUCUACGAAAGCAACAAACACAAUGACAUAUUAAAGCACUUCAAGAGCGCACAGAAGCGGCUGCAAGACGUAGGUUACGAGAAAUUCUUUGGUGCCGGGAGCAAAGGGGAACGAGAAGCUAAAUGGUUUUCCGGUGCAUCUUGGAACCAGGCCAUGGAAUGUGAUAGUGAACAAGACUGAAAGUCUUGUGCUGAGUUUUAUGCGAUUUCUUCAACCUUAUACUCUGUGCUCCCAAAUCCCUCGGCAGCCUCCAAUUUGUACAAGCAGCUUUGCUACUCUGUAUCGGCUUUGCUGGCAGCAGUUGAUGUGAACAAGAACGAGGUGACACAUAUUGCAACAAACUACUUGGAUAAAUGUCAGAAGGUACUUGACCUCUACAAGCACGCACAACAAAUUCUCUCGGGGUUAGGUAACAAUGUCUAUCCACAAGACGAAGCUCAGUGGUUGGUUUCUUCUGCCUGGAACAGAGCUGCACUUUACCUUAAGUUGCAGAAAUAUGAAAAUGCCGAACUGUACACUACUGGCUAACUGCAGGUUCAAGUGGAAAGCGGUAUGGGAUUCCAAUCGUGCUAGUAAGGAAGCUGGCUUGACAUGGCAAGUUUGGCACCGGGCCGUGGCUGUGAAUGUGUGGAGACGGAAGAUCCUUAAUGCUCUUGAUGCUGCUUGUCUUGUGUGCGAGCUUGGAGCUGAGGAGUCUGUGCUUCAUCGCUUCUGAGCUUGCCCUCAGGGUUACUCAUGCGUGGAGUUUUGUCCUUUCCAUUCUGUAUCAACUUCAAUCCUCGGAUACAGCCCUACCGCGUAGCAAGUUCAACUUUCGCUACGCCAUCUUGACCACCGGCUGCCUAACCGUUUUUCUGAAGUCACUACGAUUUGGAAUCUCUUGUGAGGCAUUAGUAUGUGGAUCCUGUGGAUUGCAAGAAAUGACUGUGCUCAAUCAGGUUAGAUGGUCUCCGGAAAAAGUCGCGCCAGUGAUCUGGGCUAGCUUGGUAGGAUAUGGUAGAGCUGGUUGGAUGAAGGUUUCCCAGAGCAAACAUAAGCCCGAAAAAGAGCAACAGAAACAACUAGAUCUGUUUGAUUCUGUUUGGGCUAAGCAUCUGUUUCUCUGCCAGCGAGUGGAGCUGAAAGUCACCUGGGGCAAGUUUCAUCAUGAUCGGGGGGGAGGGGAUGGGUUAGUCUGUGAGGAUAGUGAGUGAGUGACGGUUCGUUUCCCUGUUACCGUAACUGGUUUCGGGUGUACACUAUUUUCUUCUCGCAAUUGAAUCCCGGUUCUCUUAUUUCCAGAAAAAAAAAAAAUUUAAAUGCCGAACUGUGGAUGGAGCUGCUCUUGAGCUGCUCAAGCAUGUAAUGGCUACGGAAACUCGCAGACCUUUUAUGUUGGAAAGCUUAACCGAGCUCCUACGGCAAAAAGCUUCUUCACACAUAUUAGCAGGAUAGGCUUUGAUGUGACAGACCGCCGCAAUAAUCAUUUUAUCAAAUUUUGCGUGAGUAUAUGGAAAAGUAUCAAAGUGUCUGUAGAUCACGCACUCAUGGCCAGCUAUUACCAUCAUUAUAACUACUUUCUAAUGAUUAAUGCCUCAAGGCAGACUCGACCUCGGCCCGCAGAUCAAAGCUUUCUUGUGUGGGCAUCUCACUCGGGUUGCAAGGGGCACCAACAUCGUUUAGAUUGCAGAGCAUGAUGCUGCACAAUCGUAAUCUGUUCAACUCAGAGCAAACUUUAAGGUUGCACUUUCCAUCCGGUUCUUUUGCAUAACUCCUGAAGAACAUAGAGUCGACGCUGGUGGAUUUAAGUUGUUAGAGCAUUUGGAGUUGAUGUUGGUUAUGAAGGAAUGGCUGUUGGUUGAAUCGGGGAGACGUUGACGUGCGAUUUUCCGCUUCGCGCUCUUUGUUUGCGCUUCUUGUGGAAUGAUGGAGUUGGAGGUGGAGAAGGCGUCUUCUCCUCACUCACCUGAUAUUCCGCUGUUGUGGAACUUGGAGUAUUUUCCUGGAGAGGAGUUCCAGAUUGAGGAUAGGAGAGCAAUGCUUAUCAAGAGUUUGCUAGACUUUUUCCAGACCAGUGCUGCCAAGCAGAUCGUAUCAGCCAAGGUGAUAUUGGAUAUUGGUACGUAUCGUUUGCCGGUGGACUAUCAAGUCCUUCAAAUCCUUGGACUUGUUCAACAUUUUUGACAUUAUUGACUUGUCCAACAUUUGUUUGCCGGUGGGCUUCAAGUCCUUCAAAUGAGGGACUUGUGCAAAGCUAAUUUGGUGCAAGCCCGUACAUCUGAAGCCUGACACAAAGUCAAGAGUGAUGUUGAGGAUUGGAUUGAAAGAACAGGAACAUGAGAUAAUAAAGAGAUCUAGUUUGAGAAUGAUUUUGCCUAUUCCCGUAAGAUGAUGAUUAAUGGAGCAAUUAGUCCUUUCAUUGAUCUAAUGUUAUUGCUUUCUCAUACAAGUUUCAGCAGAAACUUGAAAAUGAACUUACUGUAGACCAGCUCAAGCGCUGCCAAUUUAAGAGCAGAUUCUCCAGUAGGCCACUGACAACACCACUCAAUCACUAUUUUACUAUUAUUGAUAAUAAGUUGAUGCAAUUGCAGUGAUUGAGGUCUAUUCUUCGUGGCCUCCUGGAGUCUAUGCUCUAAAUCUCG